AGAAUAGAUUGGGUAACAGCACUGCAAUGAUGCGGGAGGAGCAGGUUAAAGAUGAGAGCAGUCUGGCUGGCACUAAGCUCUUUGCAGCCAAAAGAGGCGGCAAAAGGAUCAAGGGAUUUGACUAAGAGGACAAUCCCCAUUGGAGCUGCAUAGAUAGAUGCUGCUUUCUGAGAAAGAGGAGUAUCGGGGGCUAUCUGAACUGGCUCAUUUGUUUGGCUAAUGACAAAAGGGGAAAUUAUUGGGAAAAUUCUGAUAAAUUCCUGACAGAAGGGGGUUACUCGUAUAUGUACCUCUGUGUUGAGGUCAGAUCUGUGCACUUUCUGUUGGUAUUGGCUGUUGGUUUAAGAGGAGGGAACUGCUGGUUUGCAUAGGGGCUGCUAGAGCUAUUUUGCUGAUCAUUAAGGGCUGAUUAAGCUGCCAGGUUGCAAUCACCCUCAUUUGCAUGCCAAAACCCCCAGUAAUCCCUGUGCCUCAGUGACAAUUUCACAAUUUGGGUACAUUGGAAGCAGGAAUAUAUUAAGGACUGCCUUUCAAAUUUGGAACCACUGGGACCUACACACGAGUAGCUGAGUCGCCCCACAUACCUGUACAAAUUGGGAUAGAUGGUCAUGGGAAUGGUUAGGAAAUUGGCUUCCAAGCCUGGGAUAUCUACGACAAUUGUUUGU